UUUUUCUAAAUAAAAAAGAAACAAACAUUCCCGGUAGAGAUGUCAACAGGUCGGAUUCGAGGCGGAUUUUUAAAAAUCCGAACCCGAACCCGAACCCGACUCCAAACCCGAGACCCGAACCCGAAUCCAAACCCGACGGAUUUUAAAAAUCCAUAUCCAAACCCGAACCUGACCAAAAAUUCGAAACCCGAAUCCGAACCCGAAAAUUUGAACCCGAAACACUUAUUUCUUUUUUCAAUAUUUCAAAAUAUAUUAUAUUAAAUCUAAAAUUUUAAAAUACAAAUUCAAAUGUAAUAUCAAAUAUAUAUAUAUAUAUAUAUAAAAUAAAAAAUAAAUUCGGGCUCGGGUUCUAGUCUGGUACCAUCAAAAUCCAUAUACGAAUCCAUAUCCGUUGGGUUUCUAUUUUUGAUAUCCAUAUUCAAAUCCAUAUCCAUUUAGCAUCGAAUAUAUCUGUUUUAUUCGGAUUCGGGUUCGGAUNAUAUAUAUAUAUAUAUAUAUAUAUAUAUAUAUAUAUAUAAAAUACAAAAUAAAUUUGGGUUCGGGUCGGGUUCAGAUCGGGUACAAUCAAAAUCUAUAUCCGAAUCCAUAUCCGUCGGGUUUCUAUUUUUUAUAUCCAUAUCCGAAUUAAUUUCUAUAUCCGUCGGAUAUAUCCAUUUUAUUCGAAUUCGGAUUCGAAUAAAAUUUCGGAUAUUCAUAUCCAUCGACUUCCCUAAUUCCCGGACGCU
rnacentral:lncRNA from 1 species